UAAUGUUUAUGAGAUUUGAUUGAAGACAAAUCUGUCACGGCAAUCUGUGAAUGCUUUGUUGUAAAUAAAAGGUAAUCCUUGUAAUAAGCAAAAACAAAUUAACAUAACAAAUGUCAAUUUACAGAUAGACAAAAAGUGAUUGUUUUCUGGAUGAAAAGAGGAUUAUUAACAGUUGGCAUAACAAAUCAAAAAUUAGUUCAACAAUUAGUCAUAUGGAAAUGUCAAAUAUUGACAUUAAUGUGAUAAAGAAAACAAGAGUUUCUGCAAAUAACCUCCCAUCCCUGAUGUGAGUCUUUCACGUCAUUCUAUAGUUCAACUAGUUCUUAAUAACUCAAAAACAGGAAAGAUAAAAUCCAUCAUUUUGUUUUACUACCCAGAUCCCUCCCGUAGCUGUCAUACAGAGUGUGAUUUAUGACUUGUAAGUUGUGCUAUGGAGCUUGACAACGAAACCUUCAAUACAUUUAUGAAGAGAGCACUACCGAGACUUCAUACAAUGGAAUAAAAUAACAAAACGUGCUGACAGCAUUCUUCUACUGAAAGAGAAAAAGUACUUCAACUCGGCCGGGCGCGGUGGCUCACGCCUGCAAGCCUGUAAUCUCAGCACUUUGGGAAGCCGAGACGAGCGGAUCACGAGAUCAGGAGAUCGAGACCAUCCUGGCUAACACGGUGAAACCGCGUCUCUACUAAAAAAAAAAAAAAAAAUUAGCCGGGCGCGGUGGCGGGUGCCUGUAGUCCCAGCUACUCCGGAGGCUGAGGCAGGAGAAUGGCGUGAACCCAGGAGGCGGAGCUUGCAGUGAGCCGAGAUCGCGCCAUUGCACUCCAGCCUGAGCGACAGAGCGAGACUCCGUUUCAAAAAAAAAAAAAAAGUACUUUAACUCAUUUUCAUUUUUGUAGGACUUGAAUUUUUUAGGGCAGUUUCAGUUUCACAGAAAAAUUAAGAGGAAGACAUAGAGAUUUACCAUAUAUAUGUAGUAAUAUAUAUUAUAUAUGGUAAUAUACCAUAUAUUACUAUAUAUAUAUAUGUAUAAAACAAGCAUGUGGAGGCAGGGUAUAUUUUAUAUAUAUAUACACACACACACCCUGACAUAAUAUAUAUAUAUACACACACACACACACCCUGACAUAAUGUGUAUAUAUAAUCUAUGUUAUAUAUUAUAUUAUAUAUGUAAUAUAUCCUGCCUCCACAUGCAUGGCCUCCUUCAUAAUCAAUAUCUUCCUCCAGAGUGGUACGACUGUUAAAAUUGCCUCGCCUACAUUAAUACAAUUUUAUUACCCAGUGGUAAAUAUACAUAACAUAAAAGGUACCAUUUAAUCAUUUUCAAUUCUAAAACUCAGUGAUAUUGAAUACAUUCACAAUGUUGUAUAAUUAACACUGUUUUCAUAACUUUUCUAUCACAUCAAACAGAAGUUCUGUACCAUUAAGCACUAAUUCUCCAUUCCCCUUGCCCCAGCCUCCACGCCCUGGCAACAUGCAAUCUGCAUUCCCUCUGCAUGAAUUUGACUAUUCAUGAUCUUUCAUAUAAGUAGAAUCAUAUACUGUUUGUCCUUUUGUGUCUGGCUUAUUUUAUUUAGCAUAAUGUUUUCAAGGUUUACCCAUGUUGUAAACAUGUAUCAGAACAUCAUUCCCUUUUUAUGGCUAAAUAAUCUUCCCUUGUAUGUACAUGCCACAUUUUGUUUAUCUACACAUACAGCUUUGUUUUCACUUUUUGACUCUUGUGAAUAAGAAUGAGUGAUGGUAUCUGGUGUGUGCAUACAGCCAUUUUCUUACUAAAGGCCAAUAGCAUCAAGCAGUCUACUAAUGGUUGUUAUUUAUCGGAUUAGGAUCCAGAGUUCCAAAAAGGUUAAUUCUUAUUUUUUCCAGUUUAAUGGCAGUUUUUGUGGAGGGAUUGACUUCUAUAAUUUCCUAUUCCAAUCUUCUAAAAUCCACUUUAAAAGAAUGGUUUAAAUUGUGUGCUUGUAGGAUGAAAUUGAUAAACAAUUAUUUUAAUAACUUUCAAAAUUACAUCAUAAUGUCCUUUGACUAUUGGGUGUUCACAUAUUUGGCAUGUUAUGAACAACUUUCUGGAAGAUAAAGGCCUUUUAUCUCAUACUUAAUAUUAAGACAGGAACCAGUGUGCUAGCAAUGGCUUUUGGGUUUGAUGUGAUAUAUUUGUAUGUAAUGAUUUUUUAAAACUUAGAGAGAAAAAUCCUCUCAUACAAAACAAAAUAGUUUUUACUGUUAUGAGAAAGUAGUUAUUAAUUACUUAUAAAACAUGCAAGUAUCUUUAUGAUAUUUGGUGAUUUAUUUUUCUCCAGCCAUCUUGUCUUGUUGUUAGUGGGGAAAAAAAUAGGGAUGCUCUUUAUCUAUGAAAAUGUGAAAAGUAUAUACACAUUUUAACUAUACAUGGUUUCCCUAAAAAUUCUUCUUCUGUUUUUAAUCCUCUAAAAUGAUCAUUGAUAUGUACAAAUAAAUACUGAUGAUAGCAACUGAAGGAUCAUUUUUGCUGUUAUCAGAAAUUGAAAAUACUGUAACAGUCUAUCAAUAGAGAAAUGGUUAUGUGCAUUAUGAUACAUAGCAUAUGUCCAUAUUUAGAAUACGUACCAAAUGUAUACAACAAAGUACAAUGAAUACAUGAUUAUACUAAGAUGGAUAGGCAUGGAUCCACAUUACUCUGUUUGUACAUGGUCUUUUCCAAACAGAAAUACAAUGUAAGAAAGAAGAAAAGAAAAAUAAAGAGAAAGAGAAUAAAGGCGACAAAAUAAAAUAUAAACCAGGAUGCAUAAGCUGGUCUCACCU